AUACUUACCUGGCGUAGAGGUUAUCCGUGAUCAUGAAGGCAGUUCCUCCGAAGCGAGAUCUGAUCAUUGCACUUCGAUUGGGUUGACCUUUGCGAUUAUUCCUAAUGUGAAUAACUCGUGCGUGUAAUUUUUGGUAGCCGGGAAUGGCGUACGCGCCGUCCCGAC
rnacentral:snRNA from 1 species